UACGUAUGUGGCGAGCGUUGUCCGGAUUUACUGGGCGUAAAGAGCGCGCAGGCGGUCGUUCAAGUCGAGUGUGAAAGCCCCCGGCUCAACUGGGGAGGGUCACUCGAUACUGAUCGGCUUGAAGGCGGGAGAGGGAAGCGGAAUUCCCGGUGUAGUGGUGAAAUGCGUAGAUAUCGGGAGGAACACCAGUGGCGAAGGCGGCUUUCUGGCCCGUUCUUGACGAUGAGGCGCGAAAGCUAGGGUAGCAAACGGG
rnacentral:rRNA from 1 species